AUUGAACGCUGGCGGCAGGCCUAACACAUGCAAGUCGAGCGGAGCGGCGGACGGGUGAGUAAUGCUAAGGAAUCUGCCUGGUAGUGGGGGAUAACGUCCGGAAACGGGCGCUAAUACCGCAUACUAUCAGAUGAGCCUUGGUCGGAUUAGCUAGGUGGUGGGGUAAAGGCCUACCAGGGCGACGAUCCGUAACUGGUCUGAGAGGAUGAGCAGUCACACUGGAACUGGGACACGGUCCAGACUCCGACGGGAGGCAGCAGUGGGGAAUAUUGGACAAUUGGCGAAAGCCUGAUCCAGCCAUGCCGCGUGUGUGAAGAAGGUCUUCGGAUUGUAAAGCACUUUAAGUUGGGAGGCGUUACCAACAGAAUAAGCACCGGCUAACUUCGUGCCAGCCGCCGCGGGAAUAC
rnacentral:rRNA from 1 species